rnacentral:rRNA from 1 species
AACGAACGCUGGCGGCAGGCCUAACACAUGCAAGUCGAGCGCGCCCUUCGGGGUGAGCGGCGGACGGGUGAGUAACGCGUGGGAACGUGCCCUUUUCUACGGAAUAGCCUCGGGAAACUGAGAGUAAUACCGUAUAUGCCCUUUGGGGGAAAGAUUUAUCGGAAAAGGAUCGGCCCGCGUUGGAUUAGGUAGUUGGUGGGGUAAUGGCCUACCAAGCCGACGAUCCAUAGCUGGUUUGAGAGGAUGAUCAGCCACACUGGGACUGAGACACGGCCCAGACUCCUACGGGAGGCAGCAGUGGGGAAUCUUAGACAAUGGGGGCAACCCUGAUCUAGCCAUGCCGCGUGAGUGAUGAAGGCCUUAGGGUUGUAAAGCUCUUUCAGCUGGGAAGAUAAUGACGGUACCAGCAGAAGAAGCCCCGGCUAACUCCGUG